GCGGAAACGAGUUAUCUGAACCUUCGGGGAACGAUAACGGCGUCGAGCGGCGGACGGGUGAGUAAUGCCUGGGAAAUUGCCCUGAUGUGGGGGAUAACUAUUGGAAACGAUAGCUAAUACCGCAUAAUGUCUACGGACCAAAGAGGGGGACCUUCGGGCCUCUCGCUUCAGGAUAUGCCCAGGUGGGAUUAGCUAGUUGGUGAGGUAAUGGCUCACCAAGGCGACGAUCCCUAGCUGGUCUGAGAGGAUGAUCAGCCACACUGGAACUGAGACACGGUCCAGACUCCUACGGGAGGCAGCAGUGGGGAAUAUUGCACAAUGGGCGCAAGCCUGAUGCAGCCAUGCCGCGUGUAUGAAGAAGGCCUUCGGGUUGUAAAGUACUUUCAGUCGUGAGGAAGGCAAUAAAGUU
rnacentral:rRNA from 1 species